AUAGCAGUCAGUUCUGGCCCGAUUCUGGCUUUUUUCCGCCAGUGUCGGCUGAAAGCCGGACAGAUUUUUAGUGUAUGCGCCAGAACUGGCCCAGAUGAGGAAAUAGUAUACCAGUAGUAAACACAAUUUAUAGCUGUUGGCCCGAGUGUAAGCAUACUCAGCUGAAGUCCGGGUCUACUAAAGUAGUGUCUCAGUGUAAUCGGGCCGAAUCUGGCAUUGUGUAGUCGGACCGACUACAUUGCAUUGUGCCUGGACCGAUUAUGGUUUGAUAUGAUACUGCCAAGAUGUGUAUGAUGUCAGAAAUUCAGUAUGUGGCCCGAUGCCAGUGCAACUGACACAUGCCGGUUGUAACGCUGUUUGGUGGCAAUUUAAAAAUGUUUAUGCUUCAGACGGACAGUAUACAGUACACGGCCCGAUUCCGUGAUGUGGCAAUCAGCCCUCUAGCUGUUGAACGGCAACAUCACGACUGCUGUUAUGAUUUGAAUCAAGCAGAGCACAAAGCUGAGCUCCCGUUCGACACAGACACCAUCAUCAAUAACUGGUUAACUGGUUGGGGCUUAUUGGCGGGACAGAUGUACGAGACUGCACAUGGCAUUGAAGAGGGCGACUGACAAAUCCCUGGCUUAAAACCUCAACUGGAUGGAAAAGACUUUAUUUGCCACCCUCCAACUCAGAGAGGUAGUGAUUGAUGCAGUUCGGAGAAGGUCCCUUACAGUUGUGGAGGUGACAAUGAAGAGGUGGCUCGAUCGAGAGGGUGGGUGCAAGAGACAACUUUAGCCAAAGAAAAGCAGUUUGUGUUAGCGCCUGUGUUUGUGUCUGCAAAGGAGAAUGUUUUGUUCUGUAAAAAGAGUGGUGGUGUUUUGGUUAAAUGUGUUUAACUUGUUUUAAUUACUUGGUUUGUGUGUGAGAGGUGUGUGUGCGGGUGGGUUGGUAUAUGUGGUUUAUGGGGAAUAGUGUAUAAUGACAUGUUUAAUAUGCUAUAAACGUGCUUUAAAGGGACACAAUACUAAGUGAUACUUUUUCAUAGAUUAAAGACUUCCAACGGAUUUUUGUUAUGGUUGGGCUUAGGGAAUGGGGUAAGUUAAGGCAAUAGAAUAUACAGUUUGUACAGUAUAAAAUGCAUUGUGUCUAUGAAAUUGUCCCGGUAAACCACAUAUGCCAACGUGAGUGUGUGGUGUGUGUGAGAGAGAGAAUUUUUUUCUUUAAAUGUUAAUUAAUUUGUUUUACAUGUUGUCUCGCUGUAAUUGCUUAAGGGGAUAGUUCACCCCAAAAUUGCAAUUUUAUCAUAAAUCACUUCCCCUCUGUCGUUCUAAACCAACAAGUGCUUAGAUUGUCUUUAGAACACGUUUUUAGAUAUUUUUGAUGAAAACUGGGAGGCUUCUGUCCGUCCCAUUGAUUUCAGUUAGUUUUACAAUCCGUUUCACAGAAAAGAAUGAAAGACAUUGCCAAAAAGUUCAGUGUUCCAUCAGUAUUUCAAUGAUAAUUUUUUUCAACAGUUUGUUCUUCUCCUUGGUCGUUCAAAGCCUGUUAACGACCAGACUACGGCGCAUCAUGCUGACGUCACCUGCUGCUGACGUCACCUGCUGACGUAGUUGCCAGCGUACAGACAGAAUAGGCUGCCAAGUAAUUUGUACAUUUAUUUGGGCUGUUUAAGUGUUGUUACAAUGUUUGCAUUAUGCUUUAAAAAAAGAGCGUAGAAAAAAAACAUUGGUAACCAAAUCAGCAAGUGACAUGAGCUGCAGGUGAUGUCAGCAGCAUCGCCGUAGUCUGGUCUUGAAUACACUUUCAACAACUAAGGAGGAGAACAAAUUGUUGAAAUCGUUCGUUUUAUUUUCUUUGUGCACAAAGUGUUCUUGUCACUUCAUAAUAUUAUUAUUAAACUACUAAUGGAACAUGGACCUUUUUGGCGAUGUCUUUCAUUCUUUUCUGGGAAACGGAUUGUGAGACUAACUUAAGUCAAUGGGACAGACAAAAGCCUCCCGGUUUUCAUAAAAAAAUUCUAAAAAUGUAUUCUGAAGACAAUCAGAGCACUUGGUUGUUUAGAACGACACAGGGGUAAGUGGUUUAUGAGAAAAUUAUAAUUUUAAGGGUGAACUAUCCCUUUAAAAUUGUUUAUAAAGUGGGUUAUGUGCUUGUAAAAUGUGUUGUGUAAGAGAUAUAUGUCUGUUUGUAUGUGUUGGGUUUUUGUAAAGUGUACUGAAUUUGUUAAGAAUUAAUAUGUUCAAAAUUACA